AAUGUCAGAGGAUUACCGCCUCCAGCGGGCUGACUCCAACCUGGAUCACAGAACUGAGAGGAGAGAAACAGAUCAAACACAGACAAAGAGAUUUCUUGUACAAGGGCACCCUGCUCAGCUCACGUUCUGAGGCAGAGACGCGCCGAGCAGUUCCUUAUCCCUUUAUUUAUAAUAAAGCAUAGGUUACAAAAAAGCAGAGGGUGGGGCGGUCCCACGCUCUGAGACAAAACAUAUGUGUGGUGUGAGAAGAAGAAUUUUCUCGUGAGAAUGAGAAUGUUUAGCAGGUGAGGUGUAUGUGUGUUGUGACUGUAAGCUGCAUGUGUGGCAAUGUGGUUACAACAUACAUUCUUGCGAGUGUACAGGCAAGUAGAAAACUACUGAAACUUAGCACAGAGAUAUAUGAUCAUGUGAACACUCAAUUUUCUUCUAACAUUCCCUCCUGUUGGUCAUCAUGAUUAUAUGCAUUAAUUCAAUAUUAAAGAACACAAAAUAACAUGAUAAGGUAAACAAGAUAAAAUAGGAUAAGAGACAGAGAGAAGUAAUGACAUAGGAAGUUCAUUGGCCUAGUCACUAGAGUAUUUACACAGAAUCUUCUGCCUCGGAACCAGAAUCCGUUGACGAGUCUGCACCUCCAGGUGCGUUAUUGGUGUCGUCCUGAGGCAGAUGUUGAUAUUGGGAAAACAGAAUAUGCAUUUGUACAGCAACAAGGCGAGUAAUACAAGAUUUGAUGCAUGGGAUUACACAAGUAGUAAAAAUGCAGAGUAAAACUAGAAUUACAAUUAAAGGCAUUGCUAAAGAAAGAAUUUUCCCUCUCCAGUCUCCCCAUGAUAACCAAUCCCAAAAACUCCAUCCUCCUGUGAGGUCAACGUCAUCCUUUUUCAUAUCUGCUAGUAGGUCAUUAAGAUGAUUUACUGUGUUGGAAAUGUUACCAGCAAUGUCAGGUAUGUAUGUGCAGCACUGAUCACCUAUAACGUGGCAGAGGCCUCCCUGUGAGGCUAAGAGGAUGUCCAGUGCCAUGCGGUGUUGUAUUAGAGUGGCACGUACAGCUGCAACCCAUGGAGUGAGUGCAGCAAAACCGUCUGACACAACAGAAGUUAGAUUUUCCAAUUGUACAUGUAAUUUGUCAAUGUUAUAAGCAUUAUUAAUGGUUCCCCACCAUGGCAACGAUCCUCCUAAGAAUUUAGUUCCUUCUGAGGUUAAACCAACAUCACGCUUUGGUCUAUAAUGAGGAUAGUGAUGAGUGCUAUACUUUAAUUCAUUAUAUACCUGAAUUGUAGGUGUGAGAUACACAAGAGUGCAGAUUCCACUCCAGUGUGGUGGCAAGGCCUGCCAUAGGCCUCCAUCAUCAGAUGGACCGUACACUUGGGUACCAUUCAGAGUUAAUGGGUCAGUCACCUGCAGAGAAUACAUAGGGCGGUUUUGGCCUGAGGAGGCAUCCGCGUUGGUUUCUUCACUAGCCUAUAGUGCCAGACUUGUCAGUCUGUGUCCCCAGACGCAUCAGGCUAGUCCUGCAUACUGUCCAGUAGACUGCCCUAUAGGAAACUCUAGUCUUGGUCACUAUGUAUCUCUUUGACUGCCUCUGUUAUUAGUUUACAAUGUGAUAGAUGUAUCCAGGAUGGUCUCUCUGCUAUUUUGAUUGCGGUUGGUGUUGUUAAUAGUACUUGGUAGGGUCCCUCCCACCUGGGUGUGUUCAACAAGUCUCUCAUCCAGUCUGCUAGAUUAUUUUCUCUUUCUGAUUUCACUAAAUCAGAGUUAAAAGCUGGCAUGGGAAAAGGUCGUCCAUACACUAUUUCAAAAGGGGUUAAACCUUUUUCUGUUUUAGUUAUUCUCAUCCACAUUUUUACUAAGGAUAAACAAUCUGUCCAUGGUCUCUUUGUUUCUUCUACUGCUUUUCUUAGCCUUUGUUUUAUGGUGCCAUUUGUUCUUUCCACCAGUCCUGCACUUUGUGGGUGAUAUGCACAGUGGUUUUUUAGAGACAUUCCUAAUGCUUCUGCUAGGUGCUGCACUGUUUCAUUCACAAAGUGUGUGCCAUUAUCUGAUCUAAUUACUCGUGGUAUGCUGUAUGUUGGAAUGUAAUGUCCUGCUAGACAUUUAGCCAUGCUUAGAGCAUCAUUUUUCUUUAAUGGGUAAAUUUCAACCCAUUUGUACAAAGCACAUACAAUGACUAAUGCGUAUUUUCCGUGUCUGGAGUCGCUUAAUUCUAUAAAAUCCAUAUGUAUGGUGUGAAAUGGAUGUGGAGGUGUAGGAAAUUGUCCUCUUUUCGGUCUCUGAUUUCCCUGUGAAUUGUGUUUUUGACAAAUCAUGCACUUUGCAACAUGUUGUUUAGCAGAAAUUUCAAAAUUUUUAAAAUUUUGUGUUACCCUCCCUCCUGUUGAGACAUGGUAACACCAUGGCUCACCAAAGCUGCUGUGGCAUGCAAUGAUUUAGGAAGGAUAGGUUUACUGUCAAUAUGCAAAAUGUCAUCUUUUGUGGUCGCCCCUCUUUUGUGUCAAGUUUUUUGUUCAGAGAUGGGAGCAGAUAGUUGUGCAUCUUUCAACAGUUCACAAUUCAGAGAUGGGAAAAGAGCUAUGUCAUAAAAGCGGCAGCUUUUGCAGCUAGAUCAGCUUUGUUAUUUCCUCUAGUAAUGGAGGAAUCAUCAUUUUGAUGAGCAGCAUAUUUACACAAAGAAAGUGAGGUGGGUAGUGAAACUGCCUCUAAGAGUGUUAACAUCAUUCUACUGUGAGUGAGUGGCUUCCCAGCCGCUGUGGUUAAGCCACGACGUGCCCAAACACGUGAAAAAUGAUGCACAGAGUCAAAAACAUAUUGACUAUCAGUCCAAAUGCAAAUGUCUUUCCCUUCGGAGAGUUGACACGCUCGAGUGACAGCAUGUAAUUCAGCUGUUUGAGCUGAGAAAGAAGGAGGAAGUGAACCAGACUCAAUAAGUGUGGUUUCUGUAGUUACUGCGUAGCCCACACGGUUCCUUCCUUUUUCAUCCUUUUGUGCAGAGCCGUCAACAAACAGGUGUUGUUGGUAAGGCUGUGGUAUCUUAAAAAUGUCAUCUCAGGGCGCAGUUUCAUGCUCCACCUCAGUUUUACAACAAUGAUGUGUCCCAUCUAAUGGAGUAGCAAGCAUGCUCGCAACAUUAACCUUUUUGCAUUGAGUGUAGGAGAUUUGAGGAUUAGAUAACAGAAUGGAAAUGAGGCUUAGCAGUCUUGUGUUUGUAAUAAAUGGUAAUGGUGUCUGUAAUAAGACUAAAGGAACAUUGUGUUCAACUUUGAUGUCUAAUGUGUCAAAACAAUAUCAGAACUAGCUUCUAUAGCUUCAGCUAUAGCUGUGCAUGCUUGCACGCAGGUAGGUAAGCCAGAAGCCACUGCAUCCAACUUUUUAGAGUAGAAUGCUAAAGGUCGGUGUUUUACACCAAAAGGUUGUGUAAGUACCGCUGACAUAAAUCCCUGAUGCGAUGAGACAAAUAAAGUGAAUGGUAGAGAGUAAUUUGGGAAAGUUAGCAAAUACACUUUCAACUUUGUGAAACAGUCCAUAGUUUCAGGUGUCCACUGUAUUUUGUCUAUCAUGGUCAUCUGUUUCCCAUGUAUUAAAUUCUGUAGUGGCUGAGCACUUUUAGUAUAGUCAGGAAUCCACGUUCUGCAGUAGUUACACAAACCGAGGAAUGACAUCAUUUGUUGUUUGGUUUCAGGUUGAGGAGUAUUCAAAAUGGCGGCCUUUCUAGUAGCAGCUAAUGCCUUGCCAUUUUGUGAGAGUAUAUGGCUUAAAUACACCACUUCAGUUUGGCAGAGCUGAAUUUUGGUCUUGGAGACUUUAUGGCCCUCAUCGUGUAGGUGUCUUAACACUGUCAACGUGUUUCUUUCACCGUAAUGCUUAGUAUGUCCAGUUAUUAAUAUGUCAUCGACAUAUAAUAAGUACUGACCGUUUAUCAGGGGGGGGAACACCUAGUCAUAGAGGCACGCAGAGCUUGGGAAUACAAAGUUGGGCUAUUUGUGAAAUCUUGUGGAAGUCUGGUAUAGGUAUACAUUUGACCAUUGUAUUGGAAUGCGAAUAAAUCUUGGGAUUCUCUGUCCAAUGGAACAGAGAAUAAUGCAUUGGAUAAAUCUACAACACUAAAUCAUUUGUCUCGAGAGCCUAUACUGUUCAAAAGAGUAUGUGGAUUGGCUACUUCCACAGGUUCGGGUUCUACUAUAGCAUUUACUGCUCGUAGAUCUUGAACCAUUCUCCAUUUUCCAUUUGUCUUUUUUACAGGAAAAAUAGGAGUUUUGCAAAUAGCUGUGUCAGUUUUUCGUAGUAUUCCUGCCUUCAACAUGUCCUCUAUGACUGGUCCAAUACCCUCAUGUGCUUCCUGAGUUAGUGGGUAUUGUUUUAAUUUUGGUCUGUCUGAUUUGACUAAUUUCACUUUUAUAGGAUCCUGAUCUUUUAUUAAUCCAACAUCUGUCGGGCUUGUAGACCAUAAUGCAGAUGGUAACGUACCUAAUAAUUGCAUAUGCUCUAAUGACAGUGCAAACUGUGGUUUUUCUAAUAGUCAGUUCUUUUCAUCUAGGUGUGUCUGUGGCGUGACUCCUACAUACAGUCUCAAAACCUUUUUCCUAAUUUGUGUGUUUUUGCCUGUACUCCAACCAUCAUCAUCAGGUUUUGAAUAGUCAUCUCUUUUAGCUUUCUCUAACAUAAAAGGCAUGUUUCACCACUGGUGACUCUUAGUUUUUGUCAACGAGACAUGUACAGGUGUGAUUUUGCUUAUUGAUUUUAGUUCCUGUCCCAUUAUUACUGAGCAACAGGAAUCGCCUGAUGGCAGAACAUACAUAGGUUGGAGACAGAUAGUGCGGCAUUUUACUGCAUGCACUCUCUUAUCAUAUUGUUCAUCUGGUCCAGGAUCCUUUUUAUAUCGCAAUUUACUGGACAAGAUGAAUCCACUAGUAUUGAUAUUUUGGCGCUGUUAUUGGAGUCUGGAUCUAGAAUGGUGGCAGGAUGUGUGGUUCUAAGAGGAGUCACAUGUCCUGAUGCAGAUUUUACUCAAACUACAUUGUUGGAGAGUCUCAUCCCAGGAAAAGUGUCUCUAAGAACUGUAGUACAUGCUCCUGUGUCACAUAAGCAGUUAAAAACUUUGCCAUUUAUCAAAAUUGGUUUAGUGGGUGAGUCCUUAUCAUGCGCUGCUUUAAUCAUACUGAAAAUAUCAAGCUGGGUGUCAGUAUCACUCUGUUCUCGCUCUUUCUGUAUGUGACCUUGUGUGUGUGAGCUUGUUUGUGCAGCUGAGCUGGGCUGUGUUUCCUUAUUUUCAAUUGUAGCUGCAUUUUGCACAAGCUGCACUUCUUGUUCCCUAUCUGAAACAGGUGUUACUACCUGUUUUCUGUCAUCAUCAGCCACUAGUCAUACUUGUGUGGGUUUGUGUCUGCACUCUCUCGCGAUGUGUCCUGGCUUGUGACAGAUAUAGCACAAUUUUUGCUCACGAUCUUUCUGUUGUUGAUCUGAGUCUUCUGUGCGUGUCUGAUAAUGUCCACGCAAAUGGCCUUUACCACGGCCUCUACCUCUCAGAUAGUUCUGUCUGUGGCUGUAGGCUUCAAGGUUUUCAGUUACAUAAACUGAGCUUUGGGUUUGUUUUCUUUUUGUACCCCUUCAGCAUGAGUAGCUUGGUUAACAGCCUGUGUUACUGAGCCUGUGUUUUGGUCUACCCAGUGUUUUUCCACAUGGUGUCUUAAUGGUGGGAGUAAUUCCUUUAAGAAAUGCAUCUGUCAUGAUUACUCCAAGGUCUGUAAACCAGCAUUGUUGGUUCUACGUCUACAAUGGGUCCACCACGGUCGUCUUGCUCGCCCGUAGGUUGGCCAAACCUCGGGUUUGCAACUUCUAUGAGUGGACAUACAGUAACAUGAGUCGGUCCGCAGUCGUCACAGUCCUCUAUAUCCUUGUCAAUGUCAUGUCCUGGUCUGAAACGGCGUACCGUUUGUUCUAAGUCAUUGUGUGGAUAUAGGUUAGGUUCUUUGAGUUUCUUUAUUUUUCUUUUUCCUUUUCUCUCUCGCUCCUGUGCACGAGUUCUAGCUCGCUCCGUCAGCUCCCUCUGUUUUUUCUCUGUCUUGUCUUGUUUUACUCCUCUGCUUGGACUUGACCUUGGCUCCUGUUUAUCUGCAGCUUCAUUUUCUUCUACUCUGGUUUGUGCUCUCUGCCUAUUCACGGCUGUUUCUUCAUCUGUUUUCACUAGAGCUGCUGCGAUUUUUAUUGCCUUUUCCUUGUUUUCUUUUCCUGCCUCUGUUUACCCCUUCGCAGACAUUCUUCUAACCAUUUGUCACUUGCUUCAUAUUCUUCUGUUCUCUUGCCCUUUUUCUUCUUUUUCGUUAUUUGAGAUAUUUCUGUUUUUAGAUCGACUUGGAGACGCAGGACAUCUUUAGUGUCCAGUUUUCCAGUGCAAUUAUGUUUUCUUAUCCAUCUUAUGCUUAUCUGGCCUGCUCCAGGGAGGCUUUUUCUCCAUGAACAGACCGUCCUUGGAUAAAGGUUGCGAUGAUUUACUCCCCAUCUUCUCUGUCUAUGUCAGAACACUCCAAUUUAAAAACUAUUUCUUCUGCUGUUUCUAGGUUAAUUUCUCUGUUAUUUACUGUUAUUCCACCGCUCUCAUAAAAUGUUUCAACUUGUAAAUCUACUAGUAGAGAGUUUAUUGACGGAGGAGUCCAGAAAUAUUUAGUUUUUAUUUCUCCGUCUUUAGAUACAAAAUGGAUAAUUACCAAACUCUUUUAAUUUUACACUAUGAGGGUUCCUCUAAGGAUGUCACAAACAUGAGGUGAAAUUGAGUGAAGUUCCUCCACCAAGCUUCUACAGUAACUAAUUUACUGCGGGCAGAGCUUACUCAAAACACCGUUUGUACGUGAUCCUUAUUGGAUAAAAUAAAAAAUUGAGAUCGCAAACUCACUAGAGUUUUUUAAUGAGCGUUUCUCAAAACACAGAACACAAACAGACUCAUUCACUCCUAUUUACCGCUGACUGGGUAUUUUGUAACAGUACUGACUGACUGUUCUGUAGCUACUUAUCUGGGACUUUUGCACUCAUUCACUAAGAACUUUUGUGCUCAUCCAAGGGACUUUUGGACUCAUCCAUUAUGGACUUUUGUCCUCAUCCAGACUAGUCUUUUCUGGGACUUUUGCACUCAUUCACUAGGAACUUUUGUGCUCAUCCAAAAUCGAUUUUAUGGGACUUUUGAACUCAUCCACAAGGGACUUUUGUUCUCAUCCAAGCGCUUUGUCCAAGUAUAUUAGGACUUCUAUGCUCAUCUUGAGCGCUCCCUCUUGGAGCCGAGGUUUCUGUUAUGGCUAAAACUCGAAAACCCAGAAUUUUAUUUACGGCUAAAAUUCAUAAACCCAUUCACUCUCUUUGCGUGUGGAUACUCACUCUCGUUCUAGUGAUCUGUAGUUCGGAUGGAAAAACCAGAGAAUCACCGUGAGGGUUGGUUCUAACCCUGGCCCAGGUCCGAAUUCACGUCCUGGGUCUUUUCAGACACCCUGGGUGACUGGCUGUCGACAGACUUCAGGUUAACCACUCAGCGGGAUCUCAGGCUUCCCAUCCGGCUCGAAGGACCAAGAAUUAUGUCAGAGGAUUACCGCCUCCAGCGGGCUGACUCCAACCUGGAUCACAGAACUGAGAGGAGAGAAACAGAUCAAACACAGACAAAGAGAUUUCUUGUACAAGGGCACCCUGCUCAGCUCACGUUCUGAGGCAGAGACGCGCCGAGCAGUUCCUUAUCCCUUUAUUUAUAAUAAAGCAUAGGUUACAAAAAAGCAGAGGGUGGGGCGGUCCCACGCUCUGAGACAAAACAUAUGUGUGGUGUGAGAAGAAGAAUUUUCUCGUGAGAAUGAGAAUGUUUAGCAGGUGAGGUGUAUGUGUGUUGUGACUGUAAGCUGCAUGUGUGGCAAUGUGGUUACAACAUACAUUCUUGCGAGUGUACAGGCAAGUAGAAAACUACUGAAACUUAGCACAGAGAUAUAUGAUCAUGUGAACACUCAAUUUUCUUCUAACACAAAAGGAAAACGCAAAGGUGUGAAACAAAAAUCAGUUUCCAGCAGCUGUUGGUGGUAAAGUGUCCAGUGCCCACCACAGCCAGAGAGAAAGCUGCUGAAUAUUUUGAAUUUCCCUCGGGAUUAAUAAAGCGUCUGUCCGUCGAGUCGUCGGAUCCUCUUGAUCCUCAUCAGGGUCAUGGGGGGCUGGAGUCUAUCCCAGCUGACUGCGGGUGAAGGCAGGGGACACCUGGACAGGGGGAGGUGGUGCACUGGCUGGCCUGUUGGCUGGAUGCAGCCUGCAGGAAGGGCUCCACUCCCACAGUGGGUAAAGGACUGAUGGAGGGAGGAUCCUUCACUCGUCCAAACUCAGGUCAGACGCUGGCGCCUCUGCAGGACAAUAAUCCAGUAAAACCUGCCUCUGAAUACGGCCCAAUGCAUAAAAACACUCAACUAUUUUAAAUAACUAAUGGAUUCUGGUUAAAUGUCUUUUAUUCUUUUAAAGCUGUGUAACCCUUCAAACUACUGGAUCAUGAACUAUGUGUUUGCAAACUCAGACUUUGCCAAAGUGAGUUGAAAAAUGUCAGCAGUUGUUCAGUGAGUUAUUUUAAACAGGAGCCAGUGAACAAGCACAGUAGACCUGUUUUUAUAUCUCCUCUUUGUCUGUGUCACAGAGCUACCUCAGGUUAUAAACAUUUCUCAGAGAGCCCAUAGUGUACACAUUUAGAGGUUCCGAAUUGAUUUUGUGGGUCGAGUAGAAUGUUUACAAGUAUUCAUUUUCAAAAAACACAUUAUUUUAACGUGAGUAUUGGGAUGUAGCAGCAGCAGAAGAAGCUGCUCAUUCUUUGUUUGAGGCCAAACUAGCCACCAGGCAGGCGUUUUGUGUUACAUGGUGAUGUAGAUCAGUAACAGAAGAAAUAACUGCACUCUGAAUGAGAUAUUGUGAUAUGAUGAUAACAACAGAGCAGCCCCUUAUUCAUAUGAUUUCUGAAAACAGAAAUAUGUGAACUGGUGAUUCCAACACAAGAAUGAUCCAGGAUUAGAAAACGAAUGCGUUUAACCUGCUGUCUUUAGAUGCUCUGCCAAGGUGAUUGUUGAGUUGUGAUAUUAAAAAGUUUUUUGCAAAGUUUAUCUUCGAUUUUAACAAAAAUGCAACCACACCAUCAAGAUGACUUCUUCGAUUUGGUAUCAGGCUAUUUAGUUCAGCCACUGAACUGAAAAUGUUUUCCUGUUCUUUUUUAGACUUGUCGUUCUUUAACAUCUGGGCUAGUUUCAUUCUUAAACCUACUGCUGAGUUUUUCUUAUCUUAAAAUGGAUGUUUGACCACACACAGCAGUGAGCAUGACUGAUAAAAUGCUGUAGAGUGAAUUUAUCUGACAAAAAUCUGAGUAUUUUUCUGUUUUUUCUCACUAUUCAGUAACAGACACAUCAAUAAUGCUUGAGUACUUGGAACCCAAAAUGUGAAAACGGAUUUCAUACUAAGUUCUGUUAUUAUUUUCCUUUGAUGCCUGCUCAAACCUCUGGAUGGUGUAAAACAAUUCUCACUGCAAGAAAACCCUUGUUUUUAUUAUUUUACAGUGGAAAGUUAGUUGCUUUGUGUGAAUGCUUUUUGACACUUGUGUCUGUUGAGCAGGUUCGUUUUUUGAGAUAGAAAACAAACUACUACUUUCCAGUUAAGCUGUUUAUUUUCUGCCAUCAGUGUCUCAAAAGAAUCUUGAUCAAGGACCUUUUCUGUCUGGAACAGCCUCCCAGAAAAUGACAAAGUCUGAUAUGAACAGAACAUUUUAUACCGUAUUGUGAAAUGUGAUUGGUUAUUGAACACAAACAUAUCAUUCAAAUAUUGAACAGUGAUUGGCUAAAGGUGGGGAUAACCGUGGUGUAGACUUAGCUCUCCCAUUGGUUGGUGCACAGAUACGUCCAUAUCUCUGGCACACGAUUCAUCCAAUCUCCAGGAACCAUCCUGUAAAAGAACCUCCUAGAACCCUCUUCCCUCUCUCUACCUGUCAGUCUUAUUCCUCUGUUAACUGAGAUGUGAUGCAGCUGCUGGUGGUGUCUCAUAGGGAGGAUUAUUAUGGUUUCCACUCUUAAACAACCUUGAGUUUAGCGGUUUCAGUAAAAUUAGUUGUUUUAUUAUAAGGACAUAGGAAUGUGCUGUGUGUGUGAAAACACUCUUUGUACUGGUGUGUGUGUGUGUGUGCGUGCGUGCGUGCGUGCGUGUGCGCGCGCAGCUGUAGCUUUCCAGCCUGACCUGUGUGUAUCCAUCAUGUAUUUAACCCUUCAGAGCCUGGGGUUAAUUCUCUCUCUCUAUUCAGGUCAACACAACUCAUACAUUAAUUACACAACAAAUGGUUAUUAAUAUUGUAAUGUCUGUAUAUCUUAUAUAGACAUAAAAUAUAAUGAGGCGAAACGAGAGUGGUGUCUUUCAAUGUGUUUACUUCUGAACUGCCAGACCAGACUGCCAAACAUGGGGUAACAGGCAUCCCAUAAUACCUUGCGCAGGUACUUCUUAAAGUGACCAUAACACUGUUUUAUACAUUACAAAUAUCAAUAUUGUAUUACUCAUAUGUGACAUCAAGUUCAGUGUUCAGCUAGCAGUGCCUUAAAAAAAUAAAUCCUAACAUGUCCUUGUCUCAGUCUGAUCCAGUUCUUCUCUAAGAUGAGGAAGUGGGCCGACAUGUCCAACCUCUCGCAGGACUUCAGGCUACAAAUGGAUGGCUGGAGCGAAACUUUGAGGUCUCCACCGUGAUCUUCCGCAAGUUUGAUGUCUUGAUUUAGUAAUGAGUCGUGGCCCCUCCAGUCAGGAAGCAGCAGCGGAGAGCUCUCUGGAUCAGGAGAGGCCCAGGCCGAGGCCCUGUGGUGGGGACACCACCUGCAGGUGGCGCUGGUCAACACGGUGGCCUUCAGGGGCAUCUGGCAGAAGCAGUUUCUGUUCACCAACUCCCAGAACCUGCCCUUCAUCCUGUCUGAUGGGACUCCCAUCAAGGUGCCCAUGAAGUACCAGGCUGCAGAGGUCAGCUUUGGUAAGAGACCAGAAUCAUCCACUGGAUGAGCUUCUAGGAUGUAGUUAGAAGGAACUGUUCAGUUUAGUUAUAGAGUGUAUAUACAGUGUAUUAUA